rnacentral:lncRNA from 10 species
GUCCAAUGAUACAUUAAGUUGGCUGGAAGGAAAUAGACAACAACCUAAAAUUCCAAACCCAGGAGAAAAUAUAUUUCAAGACUGACAACAAAAUGAACAUUUUUUCAGGCAAACAAAACAAGAACUCCCCCCUCACCAAAAGGAAACAUACAAUAUGCACAUCAAGUAGAAGGAAAGCGAUCCGGGAUGGAAGAUCUAACAUGCAAGGAGGAAUGAGGAACAAAUAUCAGGAAGAAUGUUUUAAUUCAAAAAAAGCAUCAUGUGAAAUAGGUGUAGUGCUUCUUUUGAGCUGGUACAUUUUGAAAACCUUGUUGGGAGUUUGAUUAGACGGCUGAGAAAGACAGCAAAUCUACAGGGUUUGUCAAAGAUAAGAUCGUUGUCAUGGCAUGAAAAGGAUGACCUUUCCAGUCUGCAAUACCUGCUUGACCACUAAGACCAAACAGCUCAAAUUAAAGGUAACAAAUUCCGCAGAGGCAAUUGUUCAACACAGGAAAAAGAAACCACUUUAAGGAUUUUAAACUGGAAGAGAUUUUACAUAAGCUGUUUUAAACAAAACCAUUGGAUGACCUGGAGUAACAGUGUCGGAAACUCAGCUGAGCUGGAUAGAGAACUGAGCUGCCCGUUGUUGGAGAAGUUGAUUAAAGCAGCAGCCGAAGAUCGAAGUAACAGUCAAGACUGUAAUCACUUACUGCAAUAGUAUAAGCAAGAGGCCAAAACCAAAGAAACUGCCAACUCACCCAGGUCUUCUAAAUUCCCCAGAAAGGUGCACUAGUGGAGGGUCAGUGAAUCAGGACAGACAUGGGGGUCAGCUCACGAUUGAGGAAGCCCCAAACAAAAAUCUCCAGUAGUAUUAUGAACCCUGGAGCAGGAGGUUGGAGUGAGACAAGGAGAGCUAGGAGUAGAAGAGUAUGGAGUCGGAGGAGGGAACGGUUUCUUAAGGUCUCCUCCCACUCUACUCUUAAGAAAGCUUCAGUAGAAGCACCUGAAGAAAACUCCAGCAGGAAGCCCUCAGAUAAAGAAACUUCUGAAUGAAGACACCUAGGCUAGGAAUGCAAAUAUGUUUAAGAGCAUGGGCCAUUAGGGGAAUCUGAGUUCCAGAAUGCAAUUCUCUUUAAAGAUUGCAAUGCACUGGGUAUGCCCCAAGUCUGGGGAGGGCAACUUUCCUCGGAGGGGUUUGCCAGAUAAAGCCUUUGUCAUUGCCUGUGGUUGGGCCUGAAAUAUCAAACAUAGAUUUUUGGCCAGGACUCCUCAGCAGGAUCUAGUCAGGGCCUUCACAAAGUACAUUCAGAAUGACAAUUGACCCACCAGAAAGCCAUCAUGCCACCACUUGAUAUUUUAAAUGAAAAGACCCACCAACAUAUCUGAUAUCCAUAUCUGAUACCCAGUAGAAUUGGAAUGCUGCUAUCACCACUGUCACUAUUGUCACUACCACACCUGCCUCUAGAAACCCAGCAAUCUGGAGGAUGGACCCUGGAUAAUGUUGCAGGCAAACCUCAUUUCUCUACAACUGUGCUUUCCACCAACAGUCGAUUAAAGGAAGACGAAGAUCGAGUGUGUGUGGAUGAUACAGCAAAUAAACCUUCUUCUAGUUCUUAAAGAUUAUGGUUUUCAGUGUUUAGUGAGCAUCCGUGUUCAUCUUUAAAGGAUAGAAAAAUGCAGGAGGCAUCUUGUAUCCAUGAAGAUACUAAAACACGGAUUUCCUCAGGAAAUUGAUCACUCAAGCAUCCAUAAUCUUAGUAGACUGCCCUUAUAGUCGUAUUGCAGAAUGUGUGAUCUGCCAUCUACUGAGGGCUCAUUUUUCCCUCUCCUCUCUCAUCCAAGAUUGGUGAUAGUUUCAAAUUUUUCUCCCACUAUUAUGUAGAAUAAUUUCCAAACUUGACACUCAAUUGAAUCAUGGUGUCCAGGAAAAUAGAUAAAAUAAAUAUGACUUCAUAUACCAGAAGUCAUAUUCCUUUGAAUACAAUCAGGGCCAUAAAUGGCACUUGCUUCUAUAACACAAAGUGCUAUUAUAAUUAUAUACAUGAUUUUUUAAAUAAUUAAGUAACUUGGAACCAGUUUCUAUUGCAAUAAUUAUAAGAAACAAAGACCUCCAACUGAAUGAACCCCUCUGAAAUAUUUUAAUAAACUCUGAGGAGUACUAUUUGUCAAGCAAAGAAAUACUGAAUUAAGGUAAAUGCCAGCUUAGGAUGAAAAGAACAGCAACAGUGCCUACCUUCAUUACCUCAGCCUCUCCCUGGCUAAGAUAAUCACUUAAUCUUUUAUGCCUUUGCUAAAACCUCAUUAGUAAAAAGGAGACCUGCCUACUAAGCAUAAGGUUAAGGCUUUAAUGGACUUUAGAAAUCAUUUACUUUUAUGACUCAAAGCACUGAAGUGCAAAUUCUUUUUAUUUGAAUAUUUGAGGGCAUUAAAUGAGCAUUUUUAAUGGAUUUCAAUUGUCAGGAUAAAAUAAAAUUUCUCAAGGGGAAUCUGAAUUUUAACAAACAUUAAAAUCAAAGAAGUAAAAAGAUGAAUAAAUGGAGAAAAAGUAUUGUAGUAACAUCAAUUUUUGCCAAUCUAAUUUUUUAACAAAAACUUUUAAGUCUAUUUUUGGCCAGGCAUGGUGGCUCACCCCUGUAAUCCAGGGCUUUGGGAGGCUGAGGCAGGAGGAUCACUUGAGGCCAGGAGUUCGAGACCAGCCUAGCCAACAUGGUGAAACCCUGUAUCUACUAGAAAUACAAAACUUAGCCAGGCAUGGUGGUGGGCACCAGUAAUCACAGCUACUCGGGAGGCUGAGGCAGGAGAAUCGUUUGAACCCGGGAGGUGCAGGUUGCAGUAAGCGCCACUACACUCCAGCCUGGGUGACACAGCAAUACACCAUCUCAAAUUGAGUAUAUUUAUUUAGUUUUAAAACUAACUUUGAAAAUCUCUUCACCUAGGGAAGUUAUUUCCUGAAACUAUUUUCUACUGCCUUUUAGAAACACUGCCUUCCUGGUUUUGUUUCUUUUUUGUAUGUUGGCUUUGUUUGGUUUGGGUUAUGUUUGUUUGAAGAAAAAAAAAAAAACCUGAAGUGAUUCUUGAAGUAUUUUUAAGUGAGCACAUUUUAAUUUGACAUAACAUUGGAUUUCACUUGGUGAAAAGAGAGAUACUGAAUAAUUAGUAGUAUCUGAUAAGAUGUUUAGACGGAGAAGUGUAGACUCACCAUGUACAAAGCAGCUAUGAUGGUGUUCGCCCACCUCUUCCCCUGCCUAAUGCCUAUUCAUCUGACAUUUAUCAUCCAGAUUUCACUUCCUCUAGGAAGCUUCCUUGAUGCCUCCAAACAAGGUCGAAAGCACUAUCUACAUGCUUCUUAGCAAUCUGUAGCUCUACCAUCAACAUUUUAUUCUGAUUUUGCAUUUACCUUCUUUCCUCUAGUAGAAUAUGUGCCAGACUGUGUCUUGCUAAACAUUGUUAAAUAGCACUAGUAUACUGCUGGUACAGAAUAAGACAACCAACAAAUAUUGAAUGAAUGAAUGAGUGAACCCAGAGUUAAGCAUCUGCUCACUUAGUGAUUGGGUUGGUUUCAGGUGGAAAGUCCAUAGGCUGAUAUCAAUUUGACUGGUAUCAGUAAGAAGGGAAGUGUAAGAUACACAGGUGUCAGUUUCCUGAGGGUCUUAGAUGAAUGCUAUGUAGACUGGACUUAUUUCAGUUGUUAGCUCUAGAUAUGAGGGACAGGCAGACGAUCACUCUGAAGCAGGUUGGAGCACAUUUUAGUGGGCAUUUAUUGGUUACCUUCUCAGUAUAUUAUCUAGUCUCUGUUAUCCCAGAAAUACCCCAAAUUGCAAGCCACUUAGCAAAAGAAAUUUAAUCUUUACACCCUGUUCUAAUUUAAUCUACCUUUUUGCUACUACCAGCUUUCCUUGGCCAUGGUGACUGAGUCAAGGACAGACUCAUAAUCUAAGGCAAAGCAAUAAGUCAUCAGGAGACUCAAUACCUGCGUGUCUCUCAACCAUUGGAAAAAGUGAAUAUUCUUUGUAUCUGGAUGUGAAUGAGAAAAUACACAACCCCAGGAGCUGCUAGAACCCAUCUUGAGUUUGAAGAGUUUGCCUUAUAAUAAAACCAAUAUCAAAAAAGGAGGGUCUAAUAUGGGGAGGUACAAGCUUUUAGUGAUAUUGUUUGAGUCUUGGAUAAAGAUUCACUUGAAGCUAGAAUCUGCCCUCCGCAUUCCUUUAUAAACCUUGCGACACAUGAAACUGAGCGUGUUACCUCUCAAAAGUAUUCCCACAACAGUAGUCACAAACCUGUCAUAACAGUCAACAUACUACAUUGAAAUAAUUUGUUUAUAUGUGCAUUCCCCUAUACUGUGAGCCUUUGGGGCAUCAGACAUGUCUUGUCACCUAGGAUGGUAUCUGGCACAUAUUUAGUGCUCUAUAAAUCUUUGUAGAAUUAACAAAUGAAUGGAUGGAUAAGAGUUGCAAUAGAGGUAAAUUAUAUUUCCAAAUUUUUUUAUUUAUUCCUGACAAAUUAAUCAUAUUCCUGUAUUUUUUUCUCUAUAUUUCAAAGGUAAUUAGAUGUCAACACUUUUUACUUUCCUUUUUCUGAAGGUUUUAUAAGGAAACUAUGUGCAGGAUAUCAAUUUUUUGGAGAAUGACUCCCACAUUGGCUAUUCUAGCUUAUUCCCACAGGAAUUCCUAAAACCAAGCAAAUAAUUUCAAAUUUGUUGAGAUCGCAUAAUUUAGUUUAGAAUAAAGAGAUCUUGUCACCUUUCCUCUAAAGGAAGUGUCUGCUACAGGCAUUCCCUAUGGGUAUGUAUAAUUGGAAAAUUAAAAAGCAUAUUUAAAGGCAACAUUGUGCUAUAAAAAAUGUUGGCAAUGUUCCAAGGGGGACUGUGUAUGCUAUUAGAUAUUUUUGAGAAUUUACUCUGCCUGUGCUAAGAAUUUUCAAUAAUUCCCUUCUUGGGUAAAAUUAGGGCAUCAGCAGAGAAGUAAACUCUCUAAUAUAAGCAGCAAGUUUCCAUUUUUCACCAUAAUGUGUUCCUAAAAACUAUGUUGGGAAGUAAAAUGAUUAAAAAUAGAACUUUUUUGCUUUCAUACAAUUUUCGUUAAGUUUAAAACUGAAGUUAUUUGUUCACAUAAGCAAGUAAUAUUUAUAUACUGGUUAGGUGAGAUAUUGAUCGUGGCUUUCUUCUGGAGCCAAGAGAGAAUAAAACAACUGGACAAUGUAAGAUGGCUAUGUCUCUCAGAAAGUAAUACAGUCGAAAGCCUAGUUCAAAGUAAGAAACACAUAGUAGAUAUAACACCACUGUUCAUUCCAGAGCCUGUGGAAGGUGGGGCUAUUUGCUCAUGUCAUUCUUUCCUGAUUUAUCUAUAUUAAACCUUAGAAUCUUUCUUAAUACCAAACUUGAAAUGUCACUAGCAUUCAUUUGAAAUUGUUACUAGCAUUGACAGGUUUAAUACCGUAGACUUAAGGUGACUGGCUUACAUGCCUACAACCAGGGAAACAUUUUCACCUGGUGGCAACAUCUUGAUUUGCAGUCAUAGACCCAGGAGAAAGAAUCCAACAUUUUAAGUCUAAUUCAGCAAAACCAGGUCUACAAAUAGUGGCAAACAUAACUUAAGAAAUUAUCUUUAAAAUGAUGGCUUUUACUACACUUCG